rnacentral:lncRNA from 1 species
GCCUGUAACCAGCGGCCAUCGGAAUAACCACCAAAUCCGGCACCAUCUACAUCUUCUCUCUCUUUCUCUUAGGCCAACAAAUCCGUGAAGAAUGAAGGUGGUGGCGGUGCGGUGUUUCGACUGAGAAACCCUAGAUCCGUGUCGCCAUCUCAAAACACCACCAUCAUACCAUUAGGGUUUUACUAUCUACUAAACUCCGUUGGAUUAGAAGAAAGAAGAAAUGGAGACUUCGUUGAGAUAAGACAGAGAUUCGAGCGCCCUGAAAAUCAACAAGACGACGACGACCAACAACAAGAAGGGUCCUCGGACGGUGAGGUAUGCCAGCGAUGCUUCCGGCUCCACCCUCAAAAUCUAUGCUAAGCAGAAGUUCCAUAUCGAUUCCAACACUCGUCUUCAGCUGAAAAGAAGCAAAAUUAUAUGGAUUAUGAAGGACGUUGGUGGUGCUUCUUUAGCAACUAUCAAGAUUUAGAAGAAAGAUUUUAGGCUAUGGUUGUUUUGAAAUGUGAUUGACAAGCGGUGGUGCUUCGUUGUGUGAACAGGCAAGACUUUAUUUUAUUGAAUUGUGACAAGCAGAGCCAUUAAUUUUGUAUUAUGGAUAUUUUGAAAGAAUGUGUAUAGGCUGAAGUGAUUUGGGAUAAGCAUAUAUAUGAAUGUAACAAUUUGUUUAUAUGAAUAAAAGUUCGGAUCAUAAAG